rnacentral:tRNA from 1 species
CAAAUUAGAGCUGGAAUAGAAUAGCAUUUCAUUUACAUUGAAUAGGUGUCGUGCAAAUCGAUUUAAUUUGA